AUGUUUCUUCGGGGCAGGGUGUAAUUCCCGACCGACGGUGACAAGUGUGAACUUGAAGUCCGUGACCCGCAAUUAUUUGCGGUUGAUCUAGUGAAAAUCUAGAACCGACAGUUAGAGUCUGGAUGGGAGAAGAAAAAA
rnacentral:ncRNA from 2 species